rnacentral:rRNA from 1 species
GACGAACGCUGGCGGCGUGCUUAACACAUGCAAGUCGAACGGAAAGGCCCUGCUUUUGUGGGGUGCUCGAGUGGCGAACGGGUGAGUAACACGUGAGUAACCUGCCCUUGACUUUGGGAUAACUUCAGGAAACUGGGGCUAAUACCGGAUAGGAGCUCCUGCUGCAUGGUGGGGGUUGGAAAGUUUCGGCGGUUGGGGUUGGACUCGCGGCUUAUCAGCUUGUUGGUGGGGUAGUGGCUUACCAAGGCUUUGACGGGUAGCCGGCCUGAGAGGGUGACCGGCCACAUUGGGACUGAGAUACGGCCCAGACUCCUACGGGAGGCAGCAGUGGGGAAUAUUGCACAAUGGGCGGAAGCCUGAUGCAGCAACGCCGCGUGCGGGAUGACGGCCUUCGGGUUGUAAACCGCUUUCGCCUGUGACGAAGCGUGGGUGACGGUAAUGGGUAAAGAAGCACCGGCUAACUACGUG